GAUGAACGCUGGCGGCGUGCCUAAUACAUGCAAGUCGAGCGAACGGACGAGAAGCUUGCUUCUCUGAUGUUAGCGGCGGACGGGUGAGUAACACGUGGAUAACCUACCUAUAAGACUGGGAUAACUUCGGGAAACCGGAGCUAAUACCGGAUGAUAUUUUGAACCGCAUGGUUCAAAAGCGAAAGACGGUCUUGCUGUCACUUAUAGAUGGAUCCGCGCUGCAUUAGCUAGUUGGUAAGGUAACGGCUUACCAAGGCAACGAUGCAUAGCCGACCUGAGAGGGUGAUCGGCCACACUGGAACUGAGACACGGUCCAGACUCCUACGGGAGGCAGCAGUAGGGAAUCUUCCGCAAAGGGCGAAAGCCUGACGGAGCAACGCCGCGUGAGUGAUGAAGGUCUUCGGAUCGUAAAACUCUGUUAUUAGGGAAGAACAUAUGUGUAAGUAACUGUGCACAUCUUGACGGUACCUAAUCAGAAAGCCACGGCUAACUACGUG
rnacentral:rRNA from 1 species